GAGGCUAUAGCUCAGUGAUUCAGCAUUCGACUGCAGAUCGAGAGGUUCUUGGUUCAAACCCAGGUGUCCUCU